rnacentral:rRNA from 1 species
AUAAAGAUUUCGGUUUUUAUCUUAGUGGCGCACGGGUGAGUAACACGUGAAUAACCUGACCCAAAGAGGGGGAUAACAGUUGGAAACGACUGCUAAUACCGCAUGACACAUAGGUGUCGCAUGGCACUUAUGUCAAAGAUUUAUCGCUGAAAGAUGGCCUCGCGUCUGAUUAGAUAGUUGGUGAGGUAACGGCUCACCAAGUCGACGAUCAGUAGCCGGACUGAGAGGUUGAACGGCCACAUUGGGACUGAGAUACGGCCCAGACUCC